CAGAAGAGGAACCAGAGGCAUGUACAAGUUCAGUGACAUGCCCGCACAGCUAGUAAGUGAGGUGGAUUUGAACCCAGAUCUUCAUGAUUUUAAGCCCUGCCUUCUCUUCCCUGUGCUGCCCACUUGUCCUGCAGAAGACUAGUCAUCACUUAAAUAUUGUUUCUAGGCCAAAGCAACACACCGAGUCUGCUGAGAAAUAGAAGCGCUGCAGCUGCAUUAGUGCACAAAGUAGCCGUACCAAGAUGGCUGCUCUUCCGAAGUUAAAGUUAGGUGGCUCCUUGACACCACAAGUAGGAAAAGACUAUGCUCUUUCCAAACCUGAAUUUCUGACCCGAAUUGAACAAGGGGAAGAACCAUAUAUCCAGAAUCAUUUGGACUCAGAAGAGACAGAAAUAGCAGAAAAUCUUGACCUUGGUGAGUCUUACUGAACUUUCAAGGCCAAAGCUUCAUUUAAUGAACUGAAAUUCUCUAGGUUUGGGGGCUGAUUUUUUCCUUCUCUUUGGGAGCUCCUUAUCACUGAUGUGCUGACUUAAUAAUCCCUAAUAGCUUCUCAGCUAAGCCAGUUUCAGAUUUUUUCUUUCCAAUUUCCUGCUCUCCAUUGAGAGAUCUGUAAUGGAAUGGUCACUAGCUGCCAGAAACAUGGAAUAUGAUCUCCCUUCCCAAGGACAGGACCUCCACUUUCUACUAAUACUGUACAACCGUGUGCUAAGCAAGAAGAUCAAGGGCCCAGGGAUCAGAACAACAUAGAGGAAAGCGUCCCUAGUGUAGAUCUGAACAGAGGUUAGAAACACAAUCUGAGCUCUCUUGGUCUGAAGGGGAAAACUGGGUUUGCUAAGACUACCCUGUGGAUGGCUUCUGUUAACAGGGCUCUGACAUCUCAGGAUUGAGAGCCAGUACUUGCUUGGUUUUUUGAGAGCUGAUUUUUCAUCUCUUCCCUGGGGACCCCCAGGAGAUGCUUUCCUCCCUACAUGGGGAACUGCUAUAUAUGCCCUCUCCCAGUAUGAGCUCCUAGAUCAGGAACUCUUCCAUUUUUAUUACAUCUCCAGCAUUUAGCAGUGCCUGGCACACAAUAAGCAAUUAAUAAAUACUUCUAAAAAAAGCUUCACUAAAUGCAUUCAUCAUAGAGCAAGUGACCUAUUACAGACUCAAGUUUUGAGAGUUUUUGAAUCUUAGCUCUGAUGCAGUUUCAUUUUAUGACAAGUCAGUUCAAAACAUUAAAUCCAGUUUCCUUUUCUGUAAAUUGGGUGUAAUAAUGCAUGCACUACCUACUUCAUUGGGUUGUUGUAAAGAAAGUCUUGAUCUACUUUGAAGUAUUAUCGAAUGUGGGUGGCUGCUAUUCUUUCUCUCCAGCUGGCUACACGUGGGGCAAGGACAGAGGAACUUGGGAACAGUAUUUUUCUGGUUGGCUACUUAAGUGUCCCCUCAGGACGACUUGACCAUCCUAUAAAAGAGGCUUGGGGAAGGACACACUUAUUUUUCCCCAGUUUUUAAGUAUUGGUAACAGC
rnacentral:lncRNA from 1 species